GGUGGAGAAGUGGAAUUAUAACCUUUACCGGGGCAGGAUGGAGCACACUAACACCAAACAGAGAACCAGGUGGAGGUGGAAUUAGAACAUUUGCCGGGGCAGGAUGGAGCACACUAACGCCAGACAGAGAACUAGGCGGAAAAAUGGAAUUAGCCUGCAUUAGCCUGAACAGGGAGGAGUAUACUAACAGGACAGGAGAGUUAGAGCAUCCUAGGAAAGGCCAUAAUCCUGUAGUGGACUGUUGAUGGUUAACCUGUCCGCUGCGAUUGUCAGGGAUUUGUCCUUCGCUGGUAACCUGGUAACAUACACUCCCAGGUCUUUCUCUGCCUCUGUGGUGGAUAGUGGAGUGUUUCCCAUGUGGUAUUGGUGUGCUGGAUAUCCUCUCCCAAGGUGCAGGACUUUACAUUUUUCUUCAUUGAAUUAUAGCAGACACUUUGUUCCACUCCUGUAGCUUGGUGAGGUCUUCUGGUAGGAAAUCCACAGUCAAGGGUUAAACAUAGUAAUGUAAUGCCAUUUUCUUGCAUGGGAUGUGCAUUAAUACUGUGUAACCCUAAUGUGAAAUUUGUCAUGUGUGAGAGGAAUGAAAAGUCAUGUUUGGUUGUUGUUCAGCAGUACAGUGAUCAGGAUCCUCAAGCAGACCAAGCACUGGGGUUUGGGAGUGUAUUUUUUCUUUUUACAAUUCUUUGCCGAACUGAAGGGCUUGCUCAACAGUUAUUUAGCAAGACUGAAUUAGUUUCCAUUCUUGUCUCCAGUAUACUGAUGGACACAAAGAGGUGAAGCUUGUGGUUGUUGCAGCAUCUUUUUUCUUCUUUCUACAAACACUGUUUUUCAACUUUCUUCUGCAGAGCCCGUCCAGCGCUGGGCCCGGCCACUGCAAGCCUUGUUGGGUCAAUGUGUGGGAAAUCAGCCAAGGUGGAGUUUGAGUCGGUCGGCCUCAACCAUGAGGGCUGUGUGAGCGGCAGGCUGGCCGUGAGCCUUCCUGGGAGUGCUGGGCGGCCUGGUGCCCCGGCUGAAGGCAAGCGGCCUCCCUGAGACACCCAAAGACUGGCUGACACAAGAUCUUGUGCUGGUACUGGUGUCUGAAGGCUGUGCAGUGGUGCGGACACAGGCUCAGAGUGCCCAGGUGGACCAAGAUGCUGGUUGCCGCCUGCCUGGGAGCAGACUCACAGAGGUCAGCGCGGGGCAGCAGGACAGCGCCCUCAGCAGUGACGAUGAGUCUCUCCAUGAAGGCUGCACAGCAGCAGGCCACCGUCGCCCGAGAGCAUCCUGAGGAACACUUCAAUGUCCAGGUGUGAGGAUGUCAAUCCACCACAAGCCAGGAGGGAAGUGGCUGCCGGGGCCAAGACAGCAGGUGAAGCAGAACCCUUAAGCCUCAGGUCUUCACCCCUGGACGAAGGAGGUGUUUCUUGGCGGCCAAACUCGGGAGACUCACCAGAACAGACCUUGGUAGAUGAUGCAAGUUUUGCUCGCUGGAGACCACAAGAGUAUUCACCCGUGCCUCAUAUUGUGGGUGAGGAGAGCAGCCUGCACCAUCUCCCAAGAGAGGUUGUUGAGUCACUCUUCACGUCCUCCCUGAAGGAAGCCGGCGGCCUGAAGCACCGCGGGCAGGUCACCACCACCAGCCUGCAGGCCAGGGACCACAAACACCUCUGGAUGGGACUCUGGAAUGGCAGGCUUCACUGUGGCUUCACUAAGAUCAACCGCACGUGCAAGACAUGCCAGGCUCUGAUGUCCAGUGUGGAGGAGAUCGGAAUUCCUAUCAUGAGGGAGACACACAACCGCACCACACCCUCACCGGACGCCAGCAAGCUAUUGCCAUCCUGUAGUCGCCACACCUCCAGGCUGGUCGUGGCUUGGGGGGGAACCGUACAUUUUCUCCUCAGUUCUGUGUCUUAAUUUUAGGGAGUUCUCCAGGCACACGCCAGCAUUGCCGCCAAGGACUUCACACUGCACUGCCCGAAACACCCGUCGAGGGUGAUGAGGAUGAGGAGACAGUCAAGAUUGUGCAGUGGGUGAAGAGCAAUGAGCCAAUGGGAGCCACCAUCAAGCAGGACGACCACUCCGGAGCCAUCAUCAUCACCCGCAUCAUGCAUGGCUGACUGCUCCGGCCUCAUCCAUGCUGCCGACGAGGUGCAGGGGUCAACACCUUCAAUGUGGAGGGCAAGACACUGCCGGAUGUCUACAAGAUG